GGGACACGUGGUAUCCUGUCUGAAUAUGGGGGGACCAUCCUCCAAGGCUAAAUACUCCUGACUGACCGAUAGUGAACCAGUACCGUGAGGGAAAGGCGAAAAGAACCCCGGCGAGGGGAGUGAAAAAGAACCUGAAACCGUGUACGUACAAGCAGUGGGAGCACCUUCGGGUGUGACUGCGUACCUUUUGUAUAAUGGGUCAGCGACUUAUAUUCUGUAGCAAGGUUAACCGUAUAGGGGAGCCGCAGGGAAACCGAGUCUUAACUGGGCGUUAAGUUGCAGGGUAUAGACCCGAAACCCGGUGAUCUAGCCAUGGGCAGGUUGAAGGUUGGGUAACACUAACUGGAGGACCGAACCGACUAAUGUUGAAAAAUUAGCGGAUGACUUGUGGCUGGGGGUGAAAGGCCAAUCAAACCGGGAGAUAGCUGGUUCUCCCCGAAAGCUAUUUAGGUAGCGCCUCGUGAACUCAUCUUCGGGGGUAGAGCACUGUUUCGGCUAGGGGGUCAUCCCGACUUACCAACCCGAUGCAAACUACGAAUACCGAAGAAUGUUAUCACGGGAGACACACGGCGGGUGCUAACGUCCGUCGUGAAGAGGGAAACAACCCAGACCGCCAGCUAAGGUCCCAAAGUCAUGGUUAAGUGGGAAACGAUGUGGGAAGGCACAGACAGCCAGGAUGUUGGCUUAGAAGCAGCCAUCAUUUAAAGAAAGCGUAAUAGCUCACUGGUCGAGUCGGCCUGCGCGGAAGAUGUAACGGGGCUAAACCAUGCACCGAAGCUGCGGCAGCGACACUAUGUGUUGUUGGGUAGGGGAGCGUUCUGUAAGCCUGCGAAGGUGUGCUGUGAGGCAUGCUGGAGGUAUCAGAAGUGCGAAUGCUGACAUAAGUAACGAUAAAGCGGGUGAAAAGCCCGCUCGCCGGAAGACCAAGGGUUCCUGUCCAACGUUA
rnacentral:rRNA from 1 species